UAAAAGCACUCACUACCCUGGGCUCCUGCAUCCACUUCUCUUGCCUGACUCUCCUUGGUGAACUGGGCUGACCUCCACCCCACCACGAUGUCCUGCUACAAUGAGUGCUACACCCCAGGCGCCGUGGCGUGCCCAAGACCCAUUGCUGACAGCUGGAACGGGCUCUGCGUUAGACAGUGCCCUGGCUCCAGAGUGGUGAUCCAGCCGCCGCCUGCUGUGGUGACUGUCCCAGGCCCUAUCCUCAACAACUACCCACAAGACAGCGUCGUGGGCUCUGCAGGGGUUCCAGCAGUUGGCUACAGCCCCAGAGGCUACCUGGGCUAUGGGGGAUCAGAGGGAGCUCUGGUUUCUGGGGGCUCAGGGGGAGCUCUGGUUUCUGGGGGAUCUCUGGGAUAUGGGAGUGAUCUAGGUUAUGGUGUUGGCCUUGGUUAUGGUGUUGGCCUUGGUUACGGAGGCAAUCUGGGUUACAGUGGGGGUCUUUGCUAUGGGGAUGGUCUGGGCUAUGGGAGCUAUGGAGGCUGCUAUAGCCCCCGUAGCUUGAGCAGUUAUGGGGGACUGUGCGGCUCUGGCUAUUCGGGAUUUGGCUAUGGAUACUGCAGACCUUUUUCUUACCGCCGGUACAACAGGUCCCUCUCUGGAAGCUGCGGGCCAUGCUAAACUCAGUAGGUUCGUGCCCAGAGCAAGGCCAAGGCAUUAAACCGAGAGCCAGAAAUGGAUUGCCGGGCGCGCUCAUGGGCAAGGGGAUUCCAGAGUGCUGAGCACCUGCAGCGCCUGUGUUAAUUCAUGGGAGAUGUAAGCGCUCAGCACCUCCUCGAAUCAAGCCCGCAUGUGUCUUUCUCAUGUUCCACUUUACCUUCACUGUCUGACCCAAGGGAAUGUGCAUCUUGGUCGUGCCUCUCUCGUGAUUUUCCCAUUUGACACGAUUGCCAAUCCUGGCAGCCACAAGCCUGGAGGAAGAACGUCUCGUAUGGACACUGUCGUCCCCUUGGAGCAAAGAUUGGCUGCCGCCUGUGUUGAAAUUCUUCUCCCCCUGCAAAUGUACACUCCCUUUCUUGUUCACAUUAAAGCUUUGCUGCAUCACA